UGGAUAGCUCAAUUGGUUAGAGCAUCAGGUUUACACCCUGAGGGUAGAAGGUUCGAAUCCUUUCUCAA
rnacentral:tRNA from 1 species